rnacentral:tRNA from 1 species
CCGUAGUUCAAUUGGAUAGAGCAUCUGACUUCGGAUCAGAAUGUUGCAGGUUCGAAUCCUGCCGGGUG